UAUCCCUACGGGAGGCAGCAGUAGGGAAUCUUUCACAAUGGGCGAAACCCUGACGCAGCAACGCCGCGUGCGGGACGAAGGCCCUCGGGUCGUAAACCGCUUUCAGCAGGGAAGACCGCGACGGUACCUGCAGAAGAAGCUCCGGCUAACUACGUGCCAGCAGCCGCGGUAAUACGUAGGGGGCGAGCGUUAUCCGGAUUCAUUGGGCGUAAAGCGCGCGUAGGCGGCCGCCUAAGCGGAACCUCUAACCCCGGGGCUCAACCUCGGGCCGGGUUCCGGACUGGGCGGCUCGAGUGCGGGAGAGG
rnacentral:rRNA from 1 species